UACGUAGGUGGCAAGCGUUGUCCGGAAUCAUUGGGCGUAAAGCGCGCGUAGGCGGCCUCAUAAGUCCGUUGUGAAAGUCAAAGGCUCAACCUUUGAAAGCCGAUGGAUACUGUGAGGCUAGAGUCCGGAAGAGGCGAGUGGAAUUCCUGGUGUAGCGGUGGAAUGCGCAGAUAUCAGGAGGAACACCAAUAGCGAAGGCAGCUCUCUGGGACGGUACUGACGCUGAGACGCGAAAGCGUGGGGAGCGAACAGG
rnacentral:rRNA from 1 species